UGGGGAAUUUUGGACAAUGGGCGAAAGCCUGAUCCAGCAAUGCCGCGUGUGUGAAGAGGGCCUUCGGGUUGUAAAGCACUUUUGUCCGGAAAGAAAUCCUUGGCUCUAAUACAGUCGGGGGAUGACGGUACCGGAAGAAUAAGCACCGGCUAACUACGUGCCAGCAGCCGCGGUAAUACGUAGGGUGCAAGCGUUAAUCGGAAUUACUGGGCGUAAAGCGUGCGCAGGCGGUUUGCUAAGACCGAUGUGAAAUCCCCGGGCUCAACCUGGGAACUGCAUUGGUGACUGGCAGGCUAGAGUAUGGCAGAGGGGGGUAGAAUUCCACGUGUAGCAGUGAAAUGCGUAGAGAUGUGGAGGAAUACCGAUGGCGAAGGCAGCCCCCUGGGCCAAUACUGACGCUCAUGCACGAAAGCGUGGGGAGCAAACAGGAUUAGAUACCCUGGUAGUCCACGCCCUAAACGAUGUCAACUAGUUGUUGGGGAUUCAUUUCCUUAGUAACGUAGCUAACGCGUGAAGUUGACCGCCUGGGGAGUACGGUCGCAAGAUUAAAACUUAAAGGAAUUGACGGGGUCAUAGCUGUUUCCU
rnacentral:rRNA from 1 species